rnacentral:rRNA from 1 species
CUUUUCCUACGGGACGCAGCAGUGGGGAUUAUUGCACAAUGGGGGAAACCCUGAUGCAGCGACGCCGCGUGAGUGAAGAAGUAUUUCGGUAUGUAAAGCUCUAUCAGCAGGGAAGAAGAAGGACGGUACCUGAGUAAGAAGCCCCGGCUAACUACGUGCCAGCAGCCGCGGUAAUACGUAGGUGGCGAGCGUUAUCCGGAAUUAUUGGGCGUAAAGAGUGCGCAGGCGGUUUGAUAAGUCUAAAAUAAAAGCCCGAAGCUUAACUUCGGUUCGUUUUAGAAACUGUCAGACUAGAGUGUGGUAGA